GUGGUUUUUUCACUAAGUUUAAAUUUUUAAACGGUCGUUACGUUUAAAAUGUCGUUACGCUUAUUCGGGGAAUAAUUACGUGUCCUGUGCUUCGUCAUCAUGGAUUGUCGAAAAUUCGAAGGUUCCUCGAGGAUGAAGAAAAUCGACGAGCGGAGGAUCAUUCGGGUUUCUACUUGACGCGUUUCUGCUGUUUGACAUCGUCAGUGGUGAGUA